UGGGGAAUAUUGGACAAUGGGGGCAACCCUGAUCCAGCCAUGCCGCGUGUGUGAAGAAGGCUUUCGGGUUGUAAAGCACUUUCAGCGAGGAGGAAGGCUCUGGAGCUAAUACCUUCAGGGAUUGACGUUACUCGCAGAAGAAGCACCGGCUAACUCCGUGCCAGCAGCCGCGGUAAUACGGAGGGUGCAAGCGUUAAUCGGAAUUACUGGGCGUAAAGCGCGCGUAGGUGGUUUGAUAAGCGAGAUGUGAAAGCCCCGGGCUUAACCUGGGAACGGCAUUUCGAACUGUCAGGCUAGAGUGUGGUAGAGGGGUGUGGAAUUUCCUGUGUAGCGGUGAAAUGCGUAGAUAUAGGAAGGAACACCAGUGGCGAAGGCGGCACCCUGGACCAACACUGACACUGAGGUGCGAAAGCGUGGGGAGCAAACA
rnacentral:rRNA from 1 species